rnacentral:sRNA from 1 species
GUAAGCUAUAAAGGAUACUUCUCGUUAAUCACUACAGUUUGUUUGCUGCACUAUUUCCGCUUUCGUUCUAAUACGAUCCUCGAUUUCUCUAGGAGAAACUACAGGCAGCAGGAAAAUGACAAAAAGUGUGGUCUCAGUGGAAGUUGUGGAGAUUAAGGGAAACUGUACGAGUAGUGGCCAUCUCAGCUGGAAACGUACGAAGAAACGACCGUCUUACUACAAAUGGUUACACAGUUGAAUUAUGACAACAGGCCUUCAUUCUAAACAUUUCUUGAGUGUCUUUAUUACAUAUUUGACAAAUAGAAAACGAAGUGACAACGACUCUGAUGACAAUGUCACUAACAAGGGGUAGUGUUCAGACGAAUGCACCACUCUAUUACAUUAUGUUG